GCCACACUCUGUAAUCCAUCAACACCCAUAACCUCCGAAUUGUUUGGGGACGAUAUCAGUAAAGAAAUUGAUCAAGUGGCCAAAGCUAACCAACUUGGUAAUAAGCUUUCCAGUUUGCGCAGAGGCCGUGGGCAACGAUAUCACCCAUAUGCAGGAUCACCAUCGCCACACUACAGCGGUACUGGGCCCAUGAGAGGUCAGGACAACAGAGCUCCCGUUCCUCGAAGUUUUCCAUCUUUUUUCGGAGGCAGAGGCUCCUAUCGACGCCGACUAGGAGCCAAAAUGGGUGCAACACAGACAAAACCCAGUCGCAACUAAUCACUCCUCACCAGGUUAGUUACAGGGAACAUAUAGAUAAAUUAGUUAAUAACCAACCACGUUUUGUUGGGGGACAGUUGAAGUUUCACGUAAAACAAUGGCAGGACAUUACAUCCGACCCUUUUGUUUUGCGUUGUGUUAGCAAUUGUGCAAUUGAAUUUGAUUAUGAACCUAUGCCAGCGAGACAUAUGUCAAAUCCAGAAUAUAAGUUUUCAUCCGCUGAGCAACAGGCCAUUGAUAACG